rnacentral:rRNA from 1 species
AUACGUAGGGGGCAAGCGUUAUCCGGAAUUACUGGGCGUAAAGGGUGCGUAGGUGGCCUGACAAGUCAGGGGUCAAAGGCAACGGCUCAACCGUUGUAAGCCCUUGAAACUGUCGGGCUUGAGUUCAGGAGAGGAAAGCGGAAUUCCUAGUGUAGCGGUGAAAUGCGUAGAUAUUAGGAGGAACACCAGUGGCGAAGGCGGCUUUCUGGACUGAUACUGACACUGAGGCACGAAAGCGUGGGGAGCAAACAGGAUUAGAUACCCGGGUAGUCCACGCCGUAAACGAUGAGUACUAGGUGUCGGCCCUAAGGGUCGGUGCCGCAGUUAACACAUUAAGUACUCCGCCUGGGAAGUACGCUCGCAAGAGUGAAACUCAAAGGAAUUGACGGGG